rnacentral:pre_miRNA from 1 species
CUCAUGUGUAGAUCAACUCCUGGCACAGUGUUGCAAUCACCAAACACACAGUGUUGAUUGCAACACUGUGCCAGGAGUUGAUCUACACUUGA